rnacentral:rRNA from 1 species
AUUCCAGCUCCAAUAGCGUAUAUUAAAGUUGUUGCAGUUAAAAAGCUCGUAGUUGGAUUUGUGGCGUCGCGUGCGGCUCGGCACUUGUGCCGGUGCUUGCUUGCGGCGCCAUCCUUGGGUGGAACCUGUGUGGCAUUAGGUUGUCGUGCAGGGGAUGCCCAUCGUUUACUGUGAAAAAAUUAGAGUGUUCAAAGCAGGCUUACGCCGUUGAAUAUGUUAGCAUGGAAUAAUAAGAUAGGACCUUGGUACUAUUUUGUUGGUUUGCGCACCAAGGUAAUGAUUAAUAGGGACAGUUGGGGGUAUUCGUAUUCCAUUGUCAGAGGUGAAAUUCUUGGAUUUUUGGAAGACGAACUACUGCGAAAGCAUUUACCAAGGAUGUUUUC